rnacentral:rRNA from 1 species
GAUGAACGCUGGCGGCGUGCUUAACACAUGCAAGUCGAACGGAAAGGCCCUGAUCUUGUGGGGCGCUCGAGAGGCGAACGCGUGAGAAAAACGUGAGUAACACGCCCCUGUAUUUGGGAUAACUUCAGGAGAAUGGGGCGAAUAUCGGAUAGGAGCUCCUGCAGCAUGGGGGUGGUUGGAAAGUUUCGGCGGUUGGGGAUGGACUGGCGGCUUAUCAGCUUGUUGGUGGGGUAGUGGAUGACAAAGGCUUUGACGGGUAGCCGGCCUGGGAGGGUUACCGGCCACAAUGGGACUGAGAGACGGACCAGACUCCUACGGGAGGCAGCAGUGGGGAAUAUUGCGCAAUGGGCGGAAGCCUGAUGCAGCAACGCCGCGUGCGGGAUGACGGCCUUCGGGUUGUAAACCGCUUUCGCCUGUGACGAAGCGGGAGUGACGGUAAUGGGUAAAGAAGCACCGGCUAACUACGUG